AGCGAACUUAGUGAACGUAUGUACCAAAAGUGUUCUUGGAAAGUAAGAGUAAAGUGAGUGAGGGAAAGAGCCAGAGAGAAAAGGAAUAUGGACAGACAAGAGUUAGACGAUCUGGAGAGAGCUAUUCGGGGGCAUAGGAAUUACAAGAGCAGAUACCCAGUCUGUUAAAUGGUGAUUGAGUGUUUCAGAAUUGAAUCUUCUCUUGUGCAAGCUCACAGGUUUCUGAAAGUCAUUGAUAAAAAUUAUAUUAAUUCAAUAUAACAUCUAUAUCCCUGUUUAAUCUGGAUCAAUCCUAGAAUAUAAUGUUUCCAUUAUUAAAUAGAAUGGUUUACUCUUUCAAGGAGAUAUUGAAUUCAUGAUGAAGAAACACGGAUAGAUCGUAUAACAACAUCUGUAAGUGAUCUGAGAUGGUUGAGGUGUGACAGCCGUUAUUGUGUGAGGGUUUCUGCCCAGAAAGAACCACUUAAGGCGGUAUUGAAAUUCUGAUGGAGAUGGAUGUAUGUACCCAUCUCCCAUUGCCCUAAUAGCAGAGAAGAAAUGCUCUAAAAUGUCUCGAUU